UACGUAGGGUGCAAGCGUUGUCCGGAAUUAUUGGGCGUAAAGAGCUCGUAGGCGGUUUGUCGCGUCUGCUGUGAAAACCCGAGGCUCAACCUCGGGCCUGCAGUGGGUACGGGCAGACUAGAGUGCGGUAGGGGAGAUUGGAAUUCCUGGUGUAGCGGUGGAAUGCGCAGAUAUCAGGAGGAACACCAAAGGCGAAGGCAGUGUCCUGGCUGGCAUCUGACGCUGAGGCGCGAAAGCUAGGGGAGCGAACAGG
rnacentral:rRNA from 1 species